GCGGCGUAGGCCCCACCUCUUCCUUUCCUCCCGCGCGGGCCACGUGAGGAGAUUCUGGAGCCUUCAGGUUGUCCCCCGUGCGCAAGCAGCAGGACGAGGCCCAGGACUUUUCGGGCCUGCACGUUUGCUGAGAGUGGUGUUCUUGUGGCGGGGGCGGAAGGUGGACGUCUUAGGAAGCCUUGCGACCCAGUCGGGACCCCCACAGGGACUCCGCAGUGCCUGGGGAUUGCCUGGACCUCGCCCGGGAAAGCUGACACUUCACAGGCCUCUCUAAUGUCUGAAGUGCUCCAGAAAAUGAAUCUAUUUGAGGAUGCAGUUUUACAAAACCAGAGGUAGCCGUCAAGUUGGAGCAAUGAAAAGGUCCAUUGUUGUUAGAGGAAGAAUUUCCAAGCAGGAGACAUGCAGGGUGAUAGUCCAGGUUGCUGAUGCCACCACCAUAAUUCAUCACCAGAGAUGGAGAAACUCUGUACCAUGAUGCCAGCUGGGCAAGGAAGAUCACUUUGCUGAGUGCUGGCAGGACUGAUUCAAUAGUUAUGCGGGCUCUGGGCUCCCGUGGCUGCCUUUAGCAUCUGGAUGCUGUAACUUGGAAGUUUGGUGUGGAGCGGUGUGAAACCUCAGAGGAUACAUGAAUAGGUCCAUAAACCUUCUCACACUGUCACCCUGGAAAUGGAACUCCAUAUGGCUGUCGGGGAGCUGCCCAAAGGCCACCUACAAGGGAUCCUAGGAAGGCUGGCCGUGUACGUCCUGGGUAAUCAACAGUUACGCAGACAAGCACAUUACACUCCAUGGGAGCUGUCCUUUCAAGAACUUGGUUUUGAACUGUAGAGGCUCCCACUGUGUCUUCUGAAGGUCAUGGUAAGAAAAAAUCCUGUCUACUGAGAAUGUGAGAGAGAGAUUUUGAUGGACAGUAAAUACAUCAUUUUAGAACUGUGCUUUGGUAUCAAUUGAUCAGCUUUUGCCUCACCUAUUUUGAUAAGGAUUCUCAUAAUGAUAAAUAUAUCAAUUCUCCAAAAGACAGCAAUUUUAAAUGUGUAUGCGCCUAACAAAAAGGAUUUCAAAAUGCAGAUCCUGCUACCCACCUCCCCCAACGACAACUUGGCAUUCAUCCACAGACACAGGUGACUUUCUGGGAGAUGAGAUUUCAGCACCACGUACCAAGGGUCCUUGGAGGAGUCUUGCCCAUCCAUGUGGAAGGAAUUGGUCCUGCCUGUGGACACUGUAGUAGCCCAUGAAUCUGCUCCAGCUCUGCUCAGCUGGGCUCCAGAAGUCCCUAAAGAACACUGAUUCUGACAAUCACUCAUGGGGCCACACAGAUCUGAGUCAAGUCUGAGACUUACACCACAGCUCACAGCAACACGGGAUCCCUAACCCACUGAGCGAGGCCAGGGAUCGAACUUGCGUCCUCAUGCAUAUAAGUCAGAUUCAUGUCCACUUAGCCACGACAGGAACUCCCUAAAUAUAUUUGUUAAUAAACCAAUGGUUCUCCAGACUUUUCAGCGUACUAAGUGCUAAAGCAAACAAGAGAUUCUUCUCAAAAUAUGUCGGUGGCUUGAGAGAUGUCAUUACCAAGUGGUGAUCUAUACAGAAGGUAGGUUAGAAAGCUUUUAAUUCCUAUAUCCAUGAAUUAGCAAACUUUUUACCCCCUUUUUUAAAGUUUUUUUGAAGUAUAGUUGACUUAGAAGUUUGUGAUAAUUUCUGUUCUACAGCAGAGUGAUUCGGUUAUACAUUCAGAUUCUUUUCCCACAUAGAUUAUCCCAGAAUAUUGGGCAGAGUUCCCUGUGCUAUACAACAGGUCCCCGUUGGCCAAUCAUUCCAUAUACCUCCGUGUAAUUAGCAAACAUUUAUAAAACACUUUUCAUCAGGGAAUAGAAUACUGGGAGUGUGGUCUGACUUCACUCCUCACUCUUGCCUGCAAGACCUUUCAUUGCAGUUAGAGAAACACCUCCAGAUAUGCAGAGGCUGUCAUAGGGGAGAAGUGCAAGGGGUUCUAGACAACCAUAGCACAGGGAACCAGCCCUCCGUGGGGAAGUAGGGAGUAAAAAGUGUUUAGGAAAAAAGGCUAAAGCAUGGGGGUAUUCUCCUUGGGGUGCCAGAGUCAGCUGAUUAAGAUGAGAUCAUUCCCGAAUCCAUGUUCUCCAGCCAACAACCAGCAGGAACACACCUGAGAACAAGUGGAAUCUAGAACAAGUUGGGUUUCUUCCUCAUUGCCGUGAGUGUCUCAGGAGGAGGAUGUUAGAAGAAAGCUACUGCAGCAUUUGGGCUUAGGUUGGUGAUUUGAGGGAGAGCCUGAAAGUGGUGGGUCAUUUAGAUCAGAUGCCGAAAGCCAAGGCAACUCUGAUUCAUCUGUCAAUGAAUCUCACAGACAGGAGGGAAGAUGAUGGGUAGGCAAGAGUUGUUCCUGGAAACAAAGUAGCUGUCAUUCAUUUUAACCAAAAGAAUGGAGUGUUUGGUAUUUGGGGGGUGGCACAGUGGCCUUGUUUUUUUUCCCUGUACUUAGAAAACAAUUAUGAAUUGCCGUCAUUUUGUCUGACUUUAUCAUGCUCUCCAAGUACUCUUCCUUGGUGUUGGUAUUCUGUGAUACUUCUUGGUAUUUAUGUCCAGGCUCACUUGUGGAUAGCAGCAAGGCUGUUGUUUUUGUUUUUGUUUUCCCCUCACAAGGAACACGAAGCAUGAGGGAGGCUUUUAGCUUGAAUUGGAAGACAUCCUUCUAGAAUUUUAGCAAUCAUUGAAAAAGUACAGGUCUUCUAGGCACACCCACUCCAUGUAUGAAGAAGAAACAUGAACAGAAGAGCACAUUCAGCACAUUGCUGGCUUGCAUGUAGUUUCUAAGAUUUGUUUAAACGCCUCUACUCCCAAGUUUUAUAUUUGUUGUGUUUUGAUGUAACAUUCAUAAAUGUUAAAAACACCAGUCAGAUUUCAGUUCAUCUAUCCUCCCGUAAGGAUUGUCUCAGACUGGAGCUGUGGAUUCUCUUGACUUAGGAUUUAAACCCCUAUCACUCCCCCUCCCAGCUCGAUUGAUUAGGAAAGUGGUGCAGUGAUAUCAGAGUGGAAUGAGAGAAAACCAAGUCAUCCAUUACAAAAACUCUCCAUAAAGUCUGCUCCUAAUUUGAAUGCAAAGUGUUUUAAUAAGCAAGAAUUUAACCACUGUUGGAGUUCCCCUGGUGGCGCAGUGGAAAUGAACCCAACUAAAAAGUAUGUGGUUGCGGGUUUAAUCCCUGGCCUCAGUCAGUGGGUUAAGGAUCUGGUGUUGCCAUGAG